rnacentral:rRNA from 2 species
CAAUUCCGGUUGAUCCUGCCGGCGGUCACCGCUCUUGGAAUCCGAUUAAGCCAUGUGAGUCGAGAGGGUUCGGCCCUCGGCAGACUGCUCAGUAACACGUGGAUAACCUACCCUAAGGUGGGGGAUAAUCUCGGAAAACUGAGGAUAAUACCCCAUAGAUCUGGAUGACUGGAAUGUCUUCAGGUUGAAAACCACGGUGCCUUAGGAUGGGUCUGCGGCUUAUCAGGUUGUAGUUAGUGUAAAGGACUAACUAGCCGACGACGGGUACGGGCCAUGGGAGUGGUAGCCCGGAGAUGGACUCUGAGACACGAGUCCAGGCCCUACGGGGCGCAGCAGGCGCGAAAACUUCGCAAUGCGCGAAAGCGCGACGAGGGGAUUCCAAGUGCAUGCACUAAGUGUAUGCUUUUCGUGAGUUUAAAACGCUCACGGAAUAAGGGCUGGGUAAGACUGGUGCCAGCCGCCGCGGUAAUACCAGCGGCCCUAGUGGUGAUCGUUAUUAUUGGGCCUAAAGCGUCCGUAGCCGGUCCGGUAAAUCUCUGGGUAAAUCGUUGGGCUUAACUCAGCGAAUUCUGGGGAGACUGCUGGACUUGGGACCGGGAGAGGUCGGAGGUACUCCAGGGGUAGGGGUGAAAUCCUGUAAUCCUUGGGGGACCACCGGUGGCGAAGGCGUCCGACCAGAACGGGUCCGACGGUAAGGGACGAAGCCCUGGGGCGCGAACCGGAUUAGAUACCCGGGUAGUCCAGGGUGUAAACGCUGUGCGCUUGGUGUUGGGGGUCCCACGAGGGCACCCAGUGCCGGAGAGAAGUUGUUAAGCGCACCGCCUGGGGAGUACGGUCGCAAGACUGAAACUUAAAGGAAUUGGCGGGGGAGCACAGCAACGGGAGGAGCGUGCGGUUUAAUUGGAUUCAACGCCGGAAAACUCACCAGGGGCGACUGCCACAUGAAGAUCAAGCUGAUGACUUUAUCUGAUUGGUAGAGAGGUGGUGCAUGGCCGUCGUCAGUUCGUACCGUAGGGCGUUCUGUUAAGUCAGAUAACGAACGAGACCCUUGCCCUUAAUUGCCAUGUUUCCCUCCGGGGGAACGGUACUUUAAGGGGACCGCUGGUGCAAAAUCAGAGGAAGGUAAGGGCAACGGUAGGUCAGUAUGCCCCGAAUCCCCUGGGCGACACGCGCGCUACAAAGGCCAGGACAAAGGGUUCCGACACCGAGAGGUGAAGGUAAUCCCGAAACCUGUCCGUAGUUCGGAUCGAGGGCUGCAACCCGCCCUCGUGAAGCUGGAUUCCGUAGUAAUCGCAGAUCAACAUCCUGCGGUGAAUAUGCCCCUGCUCCUUGCACACACCGCCCGUCAAACCAUCCGAGUGGAGUUUCGAUGAGGGUGGGAUUCUUGUCCUUCUCGAAUCGCGAUUUCGCAAGGAGGGUUAAGUCGUAACAAGGUAUCCGUAGGGGAACCUGCGGAUGGAUCACCUCCUAAGC